rnacentral:ncRNA from 1 species
UCUCCUCGAAGACAGAGUCAAGCGUGGAGUUUGCCUGGGGCGGUACAUCUAUCAAAUAUAACGUAGGUGUCCUAAGGCGAGCUCAGAGAGGACGGAAACCUCUCGUAGAGCAAAAGGGCAAAAGCUGGCUUGAUCUUGACUUUCAGUCCGAGUACAGACCGCGAAAGCGUGGCCUAUCGAUCCUUUUAAUCCUGAUUGUUUCAGGUAAGAGGUGUCAGAAAAGUUACCACAGGGAUAACUGGCUUUGGCAGACAAGCGUCCAUAAUUUCCAGCCCUCACGAUCCCUUGAGAUUGUGUAUUUCUAUCAUUGAGAAGCCCACUUCGCCAAGCGAAUAAAGGGUCGGCCCCUGAUAUUCAGAGGGAGAUGGGUAGAGUCUCUGGUUCCAGUGAGGGC